rnacentral:rRNA from 1 species
CGGUGUGAUUCAUGACUGGGACUAAGUCGUAACAAGGUAGCCGUAGGGGAACCUGCGGCUGGAUCACCUCCUUA